rnacentral:tRNA from 1 species
GCUUUAAUAAUUUAAAUAAAAUAUUGGUCUUGUAAACCAAAAAUAAGCAAUCUUUUAAAGCU